rnacentral:rRNA from 1 species
GAUGAACGCUGGCGGCGUGCCUAAUACAUGCAAGUCGAGCGAACAGACGAGGAGCUUGCUCCUCUGACGUUAGCGGCGGACGGGUGAGUAACACGUGGAUAACCUACCUAUAAGACUGGGAUAACUUCGGGAAACCGGAGCUAAUACCGGAUAAUAUAUUGAACCGCAUGGUUCAAUAGUGAAAGACGGUUUUGCUGUCACUUAUAGAUGGAUCCGCGCCGCAUUAGCAAGUUGGUAAGGUAACGGCUUACCAAGGCAACGAUGCGUAGCCGACCUGAGAGGGUGGUCGGCCACACUGGAACUGAGACACGGUCCAGACUCCUACGGGAGGCAGCAGUAGGGAAUCUUCCGCAAAGGGCGAAAGCCUGACGGAGCAACGCCGCGUGAGUGAUGAAGGUCUUCGGAUCGUAAAACUCUGUUAUUAGGGAAGAACAAAUGUGUAAGUAACUAUGCACGUCUUGACGGUACCUAAUCAGAAAGCCACGGCUAACUACGUG